rnacentral:rRNA from 1 species
AUACGUAGGGAGCGAGCGUUGUCCGGAAUUACUGGGUGUAAAGGGAGCGUAGGCGGGAGUGUAAGUCAGAUGUGAAAUACAUGGGCUCAACCCAUGGGCUGCAUUUGAAACUGCAUUUCUUGAGUGAAGUAGAGGUAAGCGGAAUUCCUGGUGUAGCGGUGAAAUGCGUAGAUAUCAGGAGGAACACCGGUGGCGAAGGCGGCUUACUGGGCUUUUACUGACGCUGAGGCUCGAAAGCGUGGGGAGCAAACAGGAUUAGAUACCCUGGUAGUCUACGCUGUAAACGAUGAUUACUAGGUGUGGGGGGACUGACCCCUUCCGUGCCGCAGUUAACACAAUAAGUAUUCCACCUGGGGAGUACGAUCGCAAGAUUAAAACUCAAAUGAAUUGACGGGG